UUCCUCCAAAGAGGAUUCUCUCUCUCUCUCUGGCUGGAAUCAGAAGAAUAAUUCUUCGGCAUCUCAAAACUUUUUUUCUUCUUUUUUCUUACUAUUUGUUGUCGUAUAAAACUAAAAAUUCAUUUGUUAGCUUAGCUUACUGUAAAUUUGUAGCAAAGUCAUAGAUUAGUUCAGAAGCAAAAUAGAAAAACAAAAUUCAAAAUCAAAAUCAUGACUUCAAUCGUCAAGAUCGACGGUGAACACCUUGUUCACGCUCUUCCCAAUCUAUCGAUUCAAGAUCAGUUUUAAAUGAAAAACAAGGGA